AUUGAACGCUGGCGGCAGGCCUAACACAUGCAAGUCGAGCGAGCGGCGGACGGGUGAGUAAUGUAUGGGGACUGCCCGAUAGAGGGGGAUAACUACUGUAAACGGUAGCUAAUACCGCAUACUAUCGGAUAACCCAUAUGGUAUUAGCUAGUCGGUGAGGUAAUGGCUCACCUAGGCGACGAUCCCUAGCUGGUCUGAGGGGAUGAUCAGCGACACUGGGACUGAGACACGGCCCAGACUCCUACGGAAGCAGCAGUGGGGAAUUUUGGACCAUGGGGGAAACCCUGAUCCAGCCAUCCCGCGUGUAUGAUGAAGGCUUUCGGGUUGUCAAGUACUUUUUGCAGAGAAGCGGUAUCUGCAGAAUAAGCACCGGCUAACUACGUGCCAGCCGCCGCGGUAAUAC
rnacentral:rRNA from 1 species